GACGAACGCUGGCGGCGUGCUUAACACAUGCAAGUCGAACGGAAAGGCCCCGUUGUUGCUACUCGGAUGGCGACCGGGUGCGUAACAGGUAAGUAACCUGCCCUUGCCUUCGAGAUAGGUUCAGGAAACUGGAACUAAUACCGGUAAGGAAUCCUUUCUGCAUGGGGGGGGUUGGAAAGCUUCGGCGGGUUUUGCUGUACUGGAGGCGUAUCAGCUUGUUGGUGGGGUAGUGGCUUACCGAGGCGUUGACGGGUAGCCGGCCUGAGGGGGCGACCGGCCACAGUGGGACUGAGAGACGGCACAGACACCGACGGGAGGGAGAAGGGGGGAAUACUGCACAAGGGGCGGAAGGCGGAUGAAGCAAGGCCGCGGGCGGGAUGACGGUCUUAGGGUGGUAAACCGCAUUUAGCAGGGGCGAAGCUUGUGGUGACGGUACCUGCAGAAGAAGCACCGGCUAACUACGUG
rnacentral:rRNA from 1 species